UUUGAAGUCAAUGCAUAUAGAAUGUAUAAUGAUGUUUAGCAUAUAUUGUAUAUUUAUUGAAAAUAUAUUUAUUAAUUAAUAAGUUAACUGAUUCUCACAUUUCAUUUUUAAGAAAGAAAAAAAGAAAGAAAGAAUAAAUAAAUAAAUAAAUACAUUUUCUUACCAAAUCUAAAGAGGAAAUGCUAUUGGCUAUCUUUCAGAAGGGUGUUUCAUACACUGACACAGGGCUGGGUCUGAGGAGGAUUAGUUCAUUUAAGCUCCUUCUGGUCUUUAUGUCAAGAAUAGAACAAUAAGAAGUGGAGCAGUGCCCUGAUAUCAGCUGCUGUUGAUGCAGAUACUGCCUCUUCAUCAUUACUUCUCUAAAGAAACCACAGUGGAAACGUGACUGACCACCUUAAGUGUACAGGACUGUAGAUGUCAGGCCAUCCAGCAGAAUGAGUCGGAGGAAGAGGAGAAACAGUCGCAGAAGGAAGAGCUCCAGCAGCAGUAAACAAUGCAUCUCUCCGUAUAAUUUUCAGAGGCACACUAUGGUGGACACUGUGGAAACUGCAGAGAAGGGAGAAACUGACUCCUUCUGUAAAGAGCAUAUACUGUCAGUGUCUGAAGACGAGAAAGAGACUGAGACUCCAACCACGGAGAAAGAAAACAGAACAAGGAGUUGUGAAGAUUUCUUCCAGGACAGAAAGAAAAAAGACAGACAAAAGCCAAACUCAGAACCAACAGACAGAGGUCCAGGGUUAAAAAUCACACAUUCUGUGACCAUCGAUAACUUUGGACUGUCUUCUCCCAGAGUUGUGUUCGACCGAUGCAAUGAAGCAUCGGUUAGUAGUGUGAUAGCAGUCACAACCACUGAGGUCAAAUGCAUGACUCCAAAUAUGAAGCUUGAGAUCAAUGUCGUGACAUCAGACGAUUCAAAUAUCAAGACCACCUUUAUUCUUCACAACUGCAGAGACAAAAGAGAAGAGGCUCAUUUUAGAACUGAGAAACAUCAGUCUCCAAAAAACACCCACGUGUGUUCAUGGAACCGACAUGGAACAGAUUACAAACAGAAAAUCAGUGAGAAUAUUAGCUAUACGAUUAGCAUUGCAGAGCUAAAUGCAGAGUCAACACAUGAUUCAAAGAGUCAGAGCUCGUGGGAUGAUCCUGAAGAAAUGGCUUGCCGUAAAAGCUGCUGUAAAAAUAACUUCCGUUGGGUAAACACAGGUGGCCAGACGGACACAGAUUUCACACUGGUUGAUGGAUCUUCCUGUUGCUCAUCGCCCUCUGAUUUCUGGCAACAUCAGAAACAGCGCUCACUGCCCAGCAGUCUCAGUAAUGAGGCAUUAUGGGAUAUCCCUCCCCCUGAUGAAUUUGCUGAAAAGAAGGCUAGUGCACUGGAUUUCCUUGCAGAAAAUGUUGCAUCGUGUCAGAUCAGUCCCAGAGAAAGAUUCACUGGCCAUGACAACACAAAUUGCACACAGACAGCAUCUGAGUUUACCAAAGAGUUUACACGCCAGAAUACACUGGAUGGGGACAACAGGACAAAUGUACCCAAGUGCUGUGAACAGCUAUCCAACUCGAGUCCUCUGGAACACUUAUUCAUGAAUCCCAGAGCUUCAAUAAACAGAUCCUCUUUCACUAAAAACUUCAUUGACAAUCACGAAAGGAAGACGCGCUUGCGCAACAACAGCAUCGCCUUCCUAGAAAGCAAUACUAAUCCUGUAGGCUACAUGGACAUUCCUCCCAAAAGACGAAAGACUUACCCGGGACUGACAUAUCAAAUGAGUCAAGCCAGAGAGAGCAUUCCCUCAUACAGAGAGUCGUUUUCCUCUGGCACACUGUCGUCGUUUUUCACGCAGUCCCUUCCCUCUCAGGCAGACAGGAUGGGAAGAUUUUAUGUAGAAGACGAAAGACUCCGUCCACUUGGGAGCCGCAAAUCUUCCAGUAGUAGCAGCUAUAGACCAAGCUCAAGCUCUACAACCGGUCCCGACUCUUGUAUUCCCAAAUUUAAGGCUUACAGCUCAAUGAAAAACCCAUUCUAUCCAUCUAGGUUCGAUGAGAGUCCAGAAGAAGUCUUCUUUAGAGGCAAACAAUAUCAAGGGCCAUCACAGCUAGACGAGAUGGAGCAAAUGGGUUCAGAUGUUGCUGCAGGAAUGAUGAUCGAUGAUGGCACGGACAGCACCUCAGUGGAACCACCUGAGCUGAAUGAAGUCAAUGAAAGUGGCUUUGACGAGGAGAUGGUGGAGCUGGAUGGGUCAAUUUCUCCAGGUGACACCAUGGAGAGCCAUCAAAGGGAGCUUCUUAUUCAUGUCAUCCCACCUUCACUGCACAACUCUGAAGAAAAAAUCGAUGAAGGAUUACCUAACGGUAUCAAGCAUCACACGUGGGACGGAGAUGAAGCUGACGCUCCAAAGAAACGGAGAGGUUCGGUAAUGACAAUAAUCACUGGGGACUGUGAGCAGAGACAUGUCUUCUCGUUUGAUGAGGACGUUACACAGGAACAUCAGAUAGAUGCUUUGAGUCCUGUGAUUGAGUCUCCUAUCGGGUCUCCAAUAGAGGAUCUGGCCAGUAUCAGAGAAGCUGUAGAAGAGGUCGUGGACUACUCCCAAGCACAAAAAAACACAAUCUCUGCAAACACUAAGCUAACCUUACAUAUGGACACGUCUUCUCAACAGCCUGGAGAAGUGCAAACAAAUGAAUCCCUGGAGAAAAUAAGCACAGAUGUCUCUAGGACUACCAAAUUCUAUAACAAUGAUACGUCUGAACGGCAAAGUGCUUCAAAAAGUGAGCAUUGA
ensembl:lncRNA